UACGGCUCAGUAACACGUAGUUAAUCUAACCUAUGGAUGGGCAUAACCUCGGGAAACUGAGAAUAAUACCCAAUAGACCACAGUGCCUGGAAUGGCCUGUGGUUCAAAUGAUUUAUCGCCGUAGGAUGGGACUGCGGCCUAUCAGCUAGUUGGUGAGGUAAUGGCCCACCAAGGCUAUAACAGGUACGGGCUCUGAGAGGAGGGGCCCGGAGAUGGGUACUGAGACACGGACCCAGGCCCUAUGGGGCGCAGCAGGCGAGAAACCUUUGCAAUGUGCGAAAGCACGACAAGGUUAAUCCGAGUGUCUCCCGCUAAGGGAGUCUUUUGUCAGUUCUAGAACCACUGGUGAAUAAGGGGUGGGCAAGUUCUGGUGUCAGCCGCCGCGGUAAAACCAGCACCUCGAGUGGUCAGGAGGUUUAUUGGGCCUAAAGCAUCCGUAGCCGGUUGCAUAAGUUUUCGGUUAAAUCUAUGCGCUUAACGUAUAGGCCGCCGAAAAUACUGUGCAGCUAGGGAGUGGGAGAGGUACACGGUACUCGAUAGGAAGGGGUAAAAUCCUUUGAUCUAUUGAUGACCACCUGUGGCGAAGGCGGUGUACCAGAACACGUUYGACGGUGAGGGAUGAAAGCUGGGGGAGCAAACCGGAUUAGAUACCCGGGUAGUCCCAGCUGUAAACGAUGCAGACUCGGUGAUGCAUUGGCUUGUGGCCAAUGCAGUGCCGCAGGGAAGCCGUUAAGUCUGCCGCCUGGGAAGUACGUACGCAAGUAUGAAACUUAAAGGAAUUGGCGGGGGAGCACCACAAGGGGUGAAGCCUGCGGUUCAAUUGGAGUCAACGCCAGAAAUCUUACCUGGGGCGACAGCAGAAUGAAGGUCAAGCUGAAGACUUUACCAGACAAGCUGAGAGGUGGUGCAUGGCCAAU
rnacentral:rRNA from 1 species